AGUAUGCAAUGAAAAGCAGGUACCAGUAAUGGUUUAAAAGGGAAUCCGGUUAAAUGCCGGAGCUGUCCCCGCAACUGUAAGUGCAGACGAAUGCCAAGCCACUGUGAAAACGGGAAGGCGGCAGGAGGACGACGCACGAGCCAGGAGACCUGCCUGUUUUUCUGAAAGCGA
rnacentral:ncRNA from 2 species